GAUGAACGCUAGCGGGAGGCCUAACACAUGCAAGCCGAGCGGUAGAGUUUCUUCUGUAACUUGAGAGCGGCGCACGGGUGCGUAACACGUGUGCAACCUACCUUUAUCUGUGGGAUAGCCUUUCGAAAGGAAGAUUAAUACCCCAUAAUAUAAUUAUUUUCAUCAAUUAUUAUUUAAAACUCCGGUGGAUAGUGAUGGGCACGCGCAAGAUUAGAUAGUUGGUGAGGUAACGGCUCACCAAGUCAAUGAUCUUUAGGGGUCCUGAGAGGGAGAUACACCACAAUGGUACUGAGAAACGGACCAGACUACUACGGGAGGCAGCAGUGAGGAAUAGUGGACAAUGGGUGAGAGCCUGAUACAGCCAUCCCGCGUGAAGGAUGACGGUCCUAUGGAUUGUAAACUUCUUUUGUAAAGGGAUAAACCUACCCUCGUGAGGGUAGCUGAAGGUACUGUACGAAUAAGCACCGGCUAACUACGUG
rnacentral:rRNA from 1 species